rnacentral:misc_RNA from 1 species
AACCUAGCACACCUGCGGUGUGUACCUGCGGAAGGAUCAUUAAUAAAUGUUACUUCGGUAACUUAAUUAAUCCCUAACACCUGUGCAUCUUGUCGCUUCGGCGUCAUUUUAUAAACAUCAGUGUAAUGAAUGUAAAGUAUUAUAACAAAUACAACUUUUAACAACGGAUCU